GACGAACGCUGGCGGCGUGCUUAACACAUGCAAGUCGAACGGAAAGGCCUGCUUUCCCUUGUGGAUUGCGGGUGCUCGAGUGGCGAACGGGUGAGUAACACGUGAGUGAUCUGCCCCCAACUUGGGUAUAAGCCUGGGAAACUGGGUCUAAUUCCCGAUAGGACUGCAGGGUGGUGCCUGUGGUGGAAAACGAUUUUCUAGUGGUUGGGGAUGAGCUCGCGGCCUAUCAGCUUGUUGGUGGGGUAAUGGCCUACCAAGGCGGCGACGGGUAGCCGGCCUGAGAGGGUGGACGGCCACAGUGGGACUGAGAUGCGGCCCAGACUCCUACGGGAGGCAGCAGUGGGGAAUAUUGCACAAUGGGCGGAAGCCUGAUGCAGCGACGCCGCGUGGGGGAUGACGGCCUUCGGGUUGUAAACUCCUUUCGACCGCGAGGAAGCCACCUGGUUGGAAGGGUGGUGACGGUAGUGGUAGAAGAAGCACCGGCUAACUACGUG
rnacentral:rRNA from 1 species